GGCGAACGCUGGCGGCAUGCCUAACACAUGCAAGUCGAGCGAGCUGAUUCCUUCGGGAUGAAGCUAGCGGCGGACGGGUGAGUAACACGUGGGCAACCUGCCUCAUAGAGAGGAAUAGCCUUCCGAAAGGAAGAUUAAUACCGCAUAAGAUUGCAUCUUCGCAUGAAGAAGCAAUUAAAGGAGUAAUCCGCUAUGAGAUGGGCCCGCGGCGCAUUAGCUAGUUGGUGAGGUAACGGCUCACCAAGGCGACGAUGCGUAGCCGACCUGAGAGGGUGAUCGGCCACAUUGGGACUGAGACACGGCCCAGACUCCUACGGGAGGCAGCAGUGGGGGAUAUUACACAAUGGGGGAAACCCUGAUGCAGCAAUGCCGCGUGAGUGAUGACGGCCUUCGGGUUGUAAAGCUCUGUCUUCGGGGACGAUAAUGACGGUACCCGAGGAGGAAGCCACGGCUAACUACGUGCCAGCAGCCGCAGUAA
rnacentral:rRNA from 1 species